rnacentral:lncRNA from 1 species
UGGCUAAUGGUCUUGCCCAAGCAUGGAAGGGAUCAUCCAGGAUUCUGUGUAGGAGGACCAAAUGGUGGCUUUUGUGUAGCGGCCCCUCCCGGGCUACUUUCCCCAACUUCAAACCCCUCCGGCUGGACAGGACCACUCCAGGAUCGAGCUUCUGAAGCUCUUCACCAGAGGCCAUGGGAUACCAAGGCAAAAAAAAUCACUAUUUCCCAGGGAAAUCUUGUGCUAUCAUUCCUAGUGGUACUGUAUGCUGAACCAGACCUUCUGUUCUGGCCUAAAUACUCUCAGCGGAGUCCACAAGAUGCAAUUGGAUGACCAUUUGUCAUGUACAUCAUAGCUGGGAUUCCUCUCCUGUAUGCGUUGGACUAGAUGGCCUCUGGGGUCACUUCUGACUCCCAAAUUCUGUACUUUUGUGAUUUUGCUUGGAGACCUCCUCAGGAAUGGUAAGGAUGACCAGAAUUCCUACUGGGUUGAGUGCUUCUCUGAAUGAGUUGCUUUCAACAUUCUGAUUUUAGUCAGACUAGAUUCUGGGAGGGGAAUGAUCCAUAAAGUAAUCUUUCUGUAACAUUUGAUCACUGACAAGACCCUUUGAUUUGGAGAUUUAUUUAUUCAUUCCCUUAACAAACAUUAACUAUUCACUCUGCUCUUGAUACUAUGCUAGACAGGGCUGACUUAAAGGCAAAAAUGAAAUGGUUGUUGCCCUCAGAGAGCUUACAUUCUAAUGAAGGAGCCAACCUAUAAAUAAUUAGAGUUAGACACAAGUUAAACAAAAUAGAAGGAAACUAAUCUGAGAGGGGAAGACAUUAGUAACUGUGGGAGGGGACAGGGAAAGGUCUCCUGCAGAAGGCAGGAUUUGAGCAGGGUCUUGAAGGAAGCCAGGGAAGCUGAGAGGCAGAGGGGAGG